UAUAAUAAUAGUCACACAUACGUAUAUAUGUAUAUUAUUUAAACUAUACAAAUAAUUGUAAUAAAUCAGUAUGGCCCCUGCGUCUUAUUACUGCCUCCCUAUUACCUAGCCCAGUCUUCAGCAGACAUGGAUUAUGCCUUUCCUGUUCUUCUGGCCUUUUUGAGGAGCCAGGAAGAGUCUCCGUAAGACCCUCAACUUAAAUCUAUUGAAAUGAUACAAUAACAAAAGUAAAUAAGGGGAAAUAAGUGUGCAGCUGCCACCCUGCUGUGGAGGGAAACAUAAAUCCAUCAUCUCGUACACAAAUAGGAAGCCACCCGCUCCCGCCCCCAUUUCUACUCUCCGCUGUGGGGAGAGAGGCGACUUGGGGGGAGGAGGGGGCCCUUUCCCGACGGAGCCCCAAGAGCAGGAGGCCAAAGGCAGCGCCAUCUCUUCCUGUUUCCAUCCCAACACAGGCAGGGGCUGCUCUGCGAACGUAGCUCUAGAGGCGCGCGCCUGCGACAAGGAACCCGAAGUGUCUAUAGGUCGGAAGUUUCCAGGGGGCCCAAAGUGAAAAGUGGGAGGUUUUCCGAAGGGGAGGAGGGGUGUGGGUUGACUAGUUCCCCUCACCCCCCUACUCCGCUUUAUAUUGCGAGGAAAGAAACCGGAACAGCGAGCAGGGGAGGCGGAGGUCCAGAGAGGACAAAGAGGAGAGACUCUGAUCUGCAAGUCUGAGAUAAACUCCUCGCUUGAAACAGAAAAAUACAGAGAUCUUUUUCCUGGACCAAUUGAGGGCAUAGGUGGUACAUCCAUAAAUCCUUGACCACCCACUGCAAAGGAGAAAGGAACGUGAGAGAGGCCUGCACAGAGAAUUUCCACUGGGAUAUUCCAGUGUCACAAGAUGAACAUGAGAUCAGGUGGCACAUUCAUAAUUAUA